UACGUAGGGUGCGAGCGUUGUCCGGAAUUAUUGGGCGUAAAGAGCUCGUAGGCGGUCUGUCGCGUCGAAUGUGAAAACCCGGGGCUCAACUCCGGGCUUGCAUUCGAUACGGGCAGGCUAGAGUUCGGUAGGGGAGUCUGGAAUUCCUGGUGUAGCGGUGAAAUGCGCAGAUAUCAGGAAGAACACCCGUGGCGAAGGCGGCACUCUGGGACGGUACUGACGCUGAGACGCGAAAGUGUGGGGAGCGAACAGG
rnacentral:rRNA from 1 species